UUCAUUUUGCCGACCUAGAGCAGGUGAGACCACCCGC
rnacentral:rRNA from 1 species